UAGGGAAUCUUCCACAAUGGGCGCAAGCCUGAUGGAGCAACACCGCGUGAGUGAAGAAGGUCUUCGGAUCGUAAAACUCUGUUGUUAGAGAAGAACACGAGUGAGAGUAACUGUUCAUUCGAUGACGGUAUCUAACCAGCAAGUCACGGCUAACUACGUGCCAGCAGCCGCGGUAAUACGUAGGUGGCAAGCGUUGUCCGGAUUUAUUGGGCGUAAAGGGAACGCAGGCGGUCUUUUAAGUCUGAUGUGAAAGCCUUCGGCUUAACCGGAGUAGUGCAUUGGAAACUGGAAGACUUGAGUGCAGAAGAGGAGAGUGGAACUCCAUGUGUAGCGGUGAAAUGCGUAGAUAUAUGGAAGAACACCAGUGGCGAAAGCGGCUCUCUGGUCUGUAACUGACGCUGAGGUUCGAAAGCGUGGGUAGCAAACAGGGAUANAUNCCCUGGUAGUCCACGCCGUAAACGAUGAAUGCUAGGUGUUGGAGGGUUUCCGCCCUUCAGUGCCGCAGCUAACGCAAUAAGCAUUCCGCCUGGGGAGUACGACCGCAAGGUUG
rnacentral:rRNA from 1 species